GUGAGAAUCCCGUCUUUGGCACGGAACCCCCAGUGCUUCUGUGAUGCGCUCUCGAAGAGUCGAGUUGUUUGGGAAUGCAGCUCAAAAUGGGUGGUGAACUCCAUCUAAAGCUAAAUAUUGGCGAGAGACCGAUAGCGAACAAGUACCGUGAGGGAAAGAUGAAAAGCACUUUGGAAAGAGAGUGAAAUAGUACGUGAAAUUGUUGAAAGGGAAACGCUUAAAGUCAGUCGCGUCGACCGAGACUCAGCCUUGCCUCGGCUUGGUGUACUUCWCGGCUUGACGGGUCAGCAUCAAUUUUGUCCCUCGGAUAAUGACAAGGGAAAGGUGGCACCUUUAUAGGUGUGUUAUAGUCUCUUGUCGCAUGCGAGGGCCAGGAUUGAGGAACUCAGCACGCACCUCUUGGUGUCGGGGCUUCGGCUCACGCUACGUGCUUAGGAUGUUGGCGUAAUGGCUUUAAACGACCCGUCUUGAAACACGGACCAAGGAGUCUAACAUGCCCGCGAGUGUUCGGGUGGAAAACCCGUGUGCGUAAUGAAAGUAAAAGUUGGGACCUCUGUCGUGGAGGGCACCGACGCCCGGACCAGACCUUCUGUGACGGAUCUGCGGUGGAGCGUGCAUGUUGGGACCCGAAAGAUGGUGAACUAUGCCUGAAUAGGGUGAAGCCAGAGGAAACUCUGGUGGAGGC
rnacentral:rRNA from 1 species